rnacentral:misc_RNA from 1 species
GAUGAAGAACGUAGCGAAAUGCGAUACUUGGUGUGAAUUGCAGAAUCCCGUGAACCAUCGAGUUUUUGAACGCAAGUUGCGCCCGAAGCCACUAGGCCGAGGGCACGUCUGCCUGGGCGUCACACACCGUUGCCCCCCCUGAACCUCGCCAAUCCCUCUACAGGAGAGGCAGCCAGGAGGGGCGGAGAUUGGCCUCCCAUGAGCUUGUGUCUCGUGGUUGGCCUAAAUUCGAGUCAUCGGCUGCGAUCGCCGCGACAUUCGGUGGUUUUCGAUUGUAUCGGUGCCCCGUCGUGCGCGAAUCUGCAGCUGAGUGGACCAAUGCGACCCCAAUGCAUUACAUUGUAGUGCCUUCAACGCGACCCCAGGUCAGGCGGGAUUACCCGCUGAAUUUAAGCAUAUCAAUAAGCGGAGGA